rnacentral:rRNA from 1 species
AUUGAACGCUGGCGGCAGGCUUAACACAUGCAAGUCGAGCGAGCGGCGGACGGGUGAGUAAUGUCUGGGAACGUGCCUGAUGGAGGGGGAUAACUACUGGAAACGGUAGCUAAUACCGCAUACCAUCAGAUGUGCCCAGAUGGGAUUAGCUAGUAGGUGGGGUAAUGGCUCACCUAGGCGACGAUCCGUAGCUGGUCUGAGAGGAUGACCAGCCACACUGGAACUGAGACACGGUCCAGACUCCUACGGGAGGCAGCAGUGGGGAAUAUUGGACAAUGGGCGCAAGCCUGAUGCAGCCAUGCCGCGUGUGUGAAGAAGGCCUGCGGGUUGUAAAGCACUUUUAGCGGGGAGGCGUUACCCGCAGAAGAAGCACCGGCUAACUCCGUGCCAGCAGCCGCGGUAAUAC